UCAAUUGGGAAAGGGGAAUUUGAGGUUAUAUGUUCUUCAUACUCCAUAAUAAAAACUAUGCCAACUUUAAUAAUUGUUGGAAAAUAUUCUUCCAAAUUUUAUUAGGACUAAAAUGCCCCUAUCAUAACUCUACUCCAAUCUUUCUUGAUUUCUCAAUUAAAUUGAACAACGAAAAAAAUGCUAAUAACGUAAACCACCACUAUUCAGUUGGUAUGAAAAUUAUUGGUGCACCAACAGAGAGAACCAAAACCGACCGAACACUCCUAAAAUUUAAAUUUUUGUUUUUAGUUUUACUGUGUAUACAUAUAAAUAUAAUAUUAUAUAUUUAUUAAUUAUUAAAAUUAUUAAAUAAAAAUUUAAACUGAGAAAUUUUUCCUAGCGCACCGACUCCUCUUUCUCUCUAUCGUAUGCUCUCAUCUUUAUUUGUCACUCUUCUCUCUUCUCUUUCAUUCUCCCAGUCGGUGACAGCACCACCUCACCUCACACACUCACUUUCACAAAUCGCAGGCGCAGCCCCCACCUCACCAGCUUACCUCACGGGUCACAACUGUGACGACUCUCUCUAAGUCACGGAGUCACUCUCACGACUCACGGAUCUCCCUGCGUCUUCCCUCUCCGGUGGCACUCCGGGUUCGAGUCCGACAGGUUCGCGGAGGCUCACAAAGGAGCAGGUUGUAAUGGUUGCAGUGGACUAAGACUUAGAUUUAAUUUGUGUUGUAUUGGACUUUGGACUUUAAGUUUAAACUUUAACUAUGUGUUGUGAUUUGUGGUUGUAGACUUUUAGUUUUAGCCAUGGGUUGUAUUGAACUUUGGACAUUGGACUUUAAACUUUAACCAUGUGUUGUGAUUUGUGGUUGUAGAUUUUUAGUUUUAAUUGUGUGUUGUCUUGGAUUGGACAAUAGACAUUGGACUUUUAAUAAUGUGUUGCGAUUUGAGGUUAUGCUUAUGGAAUUUUAAAGUUUUAAUUA